rnacentral:lncRNA from 1 species
UGUAGUGAGUGUAGAAGAAAGGGGACAUGCCACAGUGUUAGAGACCAACGUCUGCAUUACCUAAACUAACUUUAAUGUCAGCCAGUGCACACAAGUUUUGGUCCCAUACAUCCCUCUUAAGCUUCCAAACUUAAGGGGACACUAUAGUCACCAGAACAACUACAGCUUAUUGUAUUUGUUCUGGUAAGUAGAAUCAUUCCAUUCAGGCUUUUUGCAGUAAACACUGUCUUUUCAGAGAAAAUAACUCCACUGGCCGCUCCUUAGAU